rnacentral:rRNA from 1 species
UCAGCAUACUGCCGUGAAUACGUUCCCGGGCCUUGUACACACCGCCCGUCACACCAUGAGAGUUGGGGAUACCCGAAGCCUGUGAGCCAACAGUUAAAUGGGGCAGCAGUCGAAGGUAGAAUCAAUGAUUGGGGUGAAGUCGUAACAAGGUAAC